rnacentral:rRNA from 1 species
GACGAACGCUGGCGGCGUGCUUAACACAUGCAAGUCGAACGGAAAGGCCCUGCUUUUGUGGGGUGCUCGAGUGGCGAAAGGGUGAGUAACACGUGAGUAACCUGCCCUUGACUUUGGGAUAACUUCAGGAAACUGGGGCUAAUACCGGAUAGGAGCUCCUGCUGCAUGGUGGGGGUUGGAAAGUUUCGGCGGUUGGGGAUGGACUCGCGGCUUAUCAGCUUGUUGGUGGGGUAGUGGCUUACCAAGGCUUUGACGGGUAGCCGGCCUGAGAGGGUGACCGGCCACAGUGGGACUGAGAUACGGCCCAGACUCCUACGGGAGGCAGCAGUAGGGAAGAUUGCACAAUGGGCGGAAGCCUAAUGCAGCAACGCCGCGUGCGGGAUGACGGCCUUCGGGUUGUAAUCCGCUUUCGCCUGUGACGAAGCGUGAGUGACGGUAAUGUGUAAAGAAGCACCGGCUAACUACGUG